CAGGAAAUAGUUUAAUUAAAAUAUAAAUUUUGGAGAUUUAAGAUAAAAAAUUUUUUUCCUGA
rnacentral:tRNA from 1 species